AUGGUGGAAGGUCAGGCUGUACCUAAAUUGACCAUUGCUGGACGCUACACAUUUAUUACAGGGUCUCUGAAGAAAAUAAAAUCUUUUGGGGGGGAUUUGCCUUAUGUUUGGUUCUAUUAUAACCAAAUUACAGCAGAAAUUCAACAACAGCUAUGUGGCGCGUCUUACUUGGGCCAAAAUGUUUCUGAUGCUGGUAUGCAUUUCUAUGCCGAUGACACGGUUAUUUAUUGUUUUGGAACAUCAUUUUCUCAGGCUAUUGAAUCCCUGCAGAAAGCGUUUGAUGUAGUUCAGCACUCAUUACAACAGUUAAAACUAGCCCUUAAUGCUGAGAAGACUAAGUUAAUGCUGUUUACAAAUAGGAAAAGGCCAAAUAUUGCACCAGAAGUAAUCACUUUGGAAGGGAAGGUCAUAGAGGAGGUCCAUGAAUACAAAAACCUCGGAGUCUUAAUAGAUAACUCUCUUACUUUUGAAUCGCACAUAGACAAACUAGUGAGGAAACUAAGACUUUGGUUAUGUUUUCGCUUCCGAAACAAGCAGUGUUUCUCUUUUGAUGCAAAAAAGCAACUUGUCACUGCCACUUUUUUAUCUGUAUUAGAUUACAGUGAUAUUGUAGAUAUGAAUGCUUCCCUUACUGUUCUUCAAAAGUUGGACUCGGUGUACCAUGCCUCUGAGAGAUUCAUUACCAACUGUAGAGCCGCUACACACCACUGUGAAUUAUACUCACGAGUGAAAUGGCCAUCACUGGCCACUAGAAGACAAAAUUGUUGGUAUGUUUUUGUUUACAAAGCAAUGCUUGGAAUAUUUCCUCCUUAUAUUUGCACAUUAAUCACAUGGAAAAGUGCUCAUUCUCAUUCUUUAAGGUCCAAUGAUCAAUUGCUGCUCUCUGUCCCGUUUGUACGAACAGAGUUAGGAAAGAAAGCUUUUGUUUAUUCUGCCCCCUCAGCCCGGAACCAGCUGCAGAAAAACUGGAAAUUAACUGAACUGGAUUCAUUACAUGUCUUCAAAAGCAAGCUGAAAGCCUCAGACACUGCAUCAUUAAUUUGUAACUGCUUUGAAUGA
rnacentral:lncRNA from 1 species